CCCUUAGAUGUUCUGGGCCGCACGCGCGCUACACUGACAGAGCCAGCGAGUUCUUUUUCCUUGGCUGAAAAGUCAUGGGUAAUCUUGUGAAACUCUGUCGUGCUGGGGAUAGAGCAUUGCAAUUAUUGCUCUUCAACGAGGAAUUCCUAGUAAGCGUAAGUCACCAGCUUGCGUUGAUUACGUCCCUGCCCUUUGUACACACCGCCCGUCGCUACUACCGAUUGGAUGAUCCGGUGAGCUAUUCGGACCUUCGCUUCGUCGAUUUUCGGCUUUGUGAGGGAAAGUCUCGCGAACCUUAUCAUCUAGAGGAAGGAGAAGUCGUAACA
rnacentral:rRNA from 1 species